UUCCGGUUGAUCCUGCCGGAGGUUACUGCUAUCGAGGUUCGACUAAGCCAUGCGAGUCGAGUGUAGCAAUACAUGGCGUACUGCUCAGUAACACGUGGACAACCUACCCUUAGGUCGGGGAUAAACCCGGGAAACUGGGUAUAAUACCCGAUAGAUCUCGGCUGCUGGAAUGCACCGAGCUCUAAAGCUCCGGCGCCUAAGGAUGGGUCUGCGGCCUAUCAGGUAGUAGUGGGUGUAGCGUACCUACUAGCCUACGACGGGUACGGGUUGUGAGAGCAAGAGCCCGGAGAUGGAUUCUGAGACACGAAUCCAGGCCCUACGGGGUGCAGCAGGCGCGAAAACUUUACAAUGCUGGAAACAGCGAUAAGGGGACCUCGAGUGCCAGGUUACAAAUCUGGCUGUCGUGAUGCCUAAAA
rnacentral:rRNA from 1 species